AAGGCUGGAAAGAGGGGAGUGCGGAACAUGCCUCCACCAUACCACUGCCCACCUCCUGUGACCUCUGCAGCAAAACCUGAAGCCCCAAAGAGGCAGCUUCUCAAAGUAAAAGUGGAAUGAAGUUCCUGGUGACCUGAAUUCCCAUGGAGGAAAGAGGAAAAGGACAUUAUGCAAGGAGAUGGCAUCUCGUGUCCCUGGUGAACCAAAUUCCAUUAGGAAGACGGUGCAGUGUGAGGUGGACCUGGACCUGGAUAAAAUGGGUGUUUAACAAGUAUUUGUUGAGUAGGUGGUGGAGGAGGCACGACUAGAUGCAGGGUCUAGCUGAGUUGACAAGAGCUAACACCAGGUGUGGACCAGGACAGGGGGACCUUAAGCGAAGACACCCUGCCAGAUGUGUCUUGUUCCCUUGACUGUGGGGAGGCCCUUGGUGGUGGGGUGACGGUCCCCCAGUCUGAGGAUUUUCCCUGGAUGUAGCCUCUCAGUGCUAAAAUGGGACAGUCCCAGGCAAACCAGGUCAGUUGGUCACUCUACUCAGUGAGCCCCGUGCUGUGUUCAAAUUUUCCUCUUAACAGAUGUGGAUGGAUUUCGGAAACUUAGAAACCACCAUUUCUCUGUGCCUGGGAGGAGAGUUAAAUCUUCUCACCAGAAUCCUUUUAUGUGUGAGAGAAAUAAAUAUCUAUCCUUUUUAUAUCUCUUUUGUUUUGGAUUCUUUGUCACCAGCAGCCAAACCCAAUUCUUACAUAAACGUGAUACUAAUUAAAUUCAUUUGCAUAAACUCACCAGUUUUAUCCUUAAUUACUGUGAUAUACACUCAUGAAGUAUGUACCCUAAAAUACCACUGUAAGUUUUAUUUGAUUACAGCAUUAAACUUAAUUUACAGAAAUGCUUGGCUUCUUUCAAUAGCUUGUUGAUUACAUAGUAUGAUCAUCUUCUGAUAACUUAAAAGAAAAAAAAUGGAAGGACCCGUAUUCCUUCCAGCUUGUGAAUGGAGGCCCAGGGCACCAGACCCUGCUAUUGAAUUUGAAUAAAUGGGAUCUCUUUUGAACAGAAUCUGAGAGAUGGCAUUAACAUAUACCUCAUGGCCAAAGUGCAUUACAUUUAGCCUUUACUGCAGACAGUUGUUUUUGGAGACACACUAUGACCUUUGGUAUAUCUGCAUCUGUGAAACAAUAAAGCAUUCUUUAAAUGAAGAUUUUGCUGUAUUACAAAUGACUGGAGAGGGUUUUAAACAUUAUUAUUCUAGUGCUGGUCUGCUUCCCUUCUUUCUCUUAAAUAAUCUGCUUUAAGCGUUCAAAGGGUCUACUCAUCUCAGGACAUGACUAUAGCUAAUUUGCUGAGAGCCUCUGAACAUACCCCAAGCCUGCUUAGGACAUCUGCAGGGAAGUUAAAUCAUUUUAAGUGGAGGAAUUAGGCUAAUGUUUUCUGCUAGGAAGAAACCUUGAAUCUGGUAUUCUGAACAAGACUUCAAAUGGUGGAAACAAAUUACGCUGUAGAUAUACAAAAGAAAAAUAAAUCCAUCUUAUUUUACUGGGAGCUUGACACUUUUAUUUAGAGAAUUUAUAUUUCUGAAUGCUCCCUUCAUACCUUAUGGAUGCAUUUCAAAUGUGGCUGUUAGGUUGAUGAUCUACUUCUUAAAAACAGAUCAGGGAGAAAGAGGAGAUUGGGGCCACUUUAGAAUAAGAAAGAAAGAAAAGAGAAGAUUUAUUUAACAAUGAGAUGAAUCUGAGCAAAAUGAAUCUUUUUCUUGCAAAAGCAGGCAAAUUCUGAUAGGCUUGAGAGAUUCUGAAUGAAAAAAAUGUUCUUUUGCAAAUGACUUUUGCACUGCCACUAUCUCCCCAAGACUUUGUGUUUUUUUUUCUUUUUUGAGACAGGGUCAUGCAGGCUGGAGUGCAAUGGCAAUCCUCCUGCCUCAGCCUCUGAGUAGCUGGGACUACAGGCACACUCUACCAUGACCAGCUGAUUUUUUAUUUUUUGCAGCGACAAGGUCUCAUUACCUUGCACAGGC
rnacentral:lncRNA from 1 species